UGUUAGAUGCACCUAAAAUUUAACGGAUCUAAAUAAUAUACCGAGACCUUGUCCAUAAAUAUUUUUAUGUACAAGUUACAUAGAAUAUAUAUGGGGUAGCGGAACAUUGGGCAUAUCUCAGAUUUUUUUUUUUAAGACUUAAGAUUAGAUUACCCAAGUGAUAAUGCUGACAUGAGUAACGAUAAAGGGUUUAUACCCUCGCCUAAAGCUUAUGGAAUUUACUUAAAGUAACGGCCUUAAGUUUAAAUUUGCUAUAGUUUAAACAAACAACACUUGAUACCUAACUUAACAGACGAUACAAGUGCAAAAUAGUAAACACCUAAUGGUAUAAACGAUGAGAAAAAGCUAAGUUUUACAGAUAUAAAUAGCAUGAGUGUUGCAGGUAGGUAUUAUAUAUAUAAUGGAUUUUUUUUUUUCUAAAAGUAAAUAAAAUAAUUAAUAGAAACUAGAAAAAUUAUAGAUUUAAUAGUUAUUUUGUGCUAAAGUGACAAAUGCUCUGGAAAAAUGUAAAACUACUGACGUGUUAGAGAGUAGGCGAGGUUCAAUCCCUUGUCCAUUAAUAUGUAUA
rnacentral:rRNA from 1 species